UGCAGAAUCCCGUGAACCAUCGAGUCUUUGAACGCAAGUUGCGCCUGAAGCCAUCAGGCUGAGGGCACGUCUGCCUGGGCGUCAAACACCGAUGCCCCCCCAAAUCCCCUCGUCACUCUCCCCUGAGUGCCCGGGGAGUGUGGGGGUCGGAUGAUGGCCUCCCGUGUCUUGGCUCGCGGUUGGCCCAAAGUCGAGUCCUCGGUCACGGUUACCGUGGUGACAGGUGGUUGUCGGUCGCUCGGUACCCCGUCACGUGCGCCGGACACGAAUCGAGACUCUCUUGAUUACCCCAACGCAUCCCCGUUUGGGUGCCUCUGAUGUGACCCCAGGUCAGGCGGGGCUACCCGCUGAGUUUAAGCAUAUCAAUAAGCGGAGGAAAAGAAACUUACGAGGAUUCCCCUAGUAACGGCGAGCGAACCGGGAAAAGCCCAGGUUGAGAAUCGAUCGCCCCCGGUGUUCGA
rnacentral:rRNA from 1 species